rnacentral:rRNA from 1 species
UACGUAGGGAGCAAGCGUUGUCCGGAAUCAUUGGGCGUAAAGCGCGCGUAGGCGACCCGGUAAGUCCGUUGUAAAAGUCGAAGGCUCAACCUUCGAAAGCCGAUGGAUACUGCCGGGCUAGAGUUCGGAAGAGGCGAGUGGAAUUCCUGGUGUAGCGGUGAAAUGCGCAGAUAUCAGGAAGAACACCUAUGGCGAAGGCGGCCUGCUGGGCAGUUGCUGACACUGAGGCGCGACAGCGUGGGGAGCAAACAGG